rnacentral:rRNA from 1 species
ACUCCUACGGGAGGCAGCAGUGGGGAAUUUUGGACAAUGGGCGAAAGCCUGAUCCAGCAAUGCCGCGUGAGUGAAGAAGGCCUUCGGGUUGUAAAGCUCUUUUGUCAGGGAAGAAACGGUGAGAGCUAAUAUCUCUUGCUAAUGACGGUACCUGAAGAAUAAGCACCGGCUAACUACGUGCCAGCAGCCGCGGUAAUACGUAGGGUGCAAGCGUUAAUCGGAAUUACUGGGCGUAAAGCGUGCGCAGGCGGUUUUGUAAGUCUGAUGUGAAAUCCCCGGGCUCAACCUGGGAAUUGCAUUGGAGACUGCAAGGCUAGAAUCUGGCAGAGGGGGGUAGAAUUCCACGUGUAGCAGUGAAAUGCGUAGAUAUGUGGAGGAACGCCGAUGGCGAAGGCAGCCCCCUGGGUCAAGAUUGACGCUCAUGCACGAAAGCGUGGGGAGCAAACAGGAUUAGAAACCCCUGUAGUCCCAU